rnacentral:rRNA from 1 species
UGAGUAAUGUCUGGGAAACUGCCCGAUGGAGGGGGAUAACUACUGGAAACGGUAGCUAAUACCGCAUAACGUCUUCGGACCAAAGUGGGGGACCUUCGGGCCUCACACCAUCGGAUGUGCCCAGAUGGGAAUUGCUUGUUAGGUGGGGUAGUGGCUCACCUAGGCGACGAUCCCUAGCUGGUCUGAGAGGAUGACCAGCCACACUGGAACUGAGACCCGGUCCAAAACUCCUACGGGAGGCAGCAGUGGGGAAUAUUGCACAAUGGGCGCAAGCCUGAUGCAGCCAUGCCGCGUGUAUGAAAAAAGCCUUCCGUUUGUAAAGAACUUUCAGUGGGGAGGAAGGCGUUAAGGUUAAUAACCUUGGCGAUUGACGUUACCCGCAGAAGAAGCACCGGCUAACUCCGUGCCAGCAGCCGCGGUAAUACGGAGGGUGCAAGCGUUAAUCGGAAUUACUGGGCGUAAAGCGCACGCAGGCGGUCUGUCAAGUCGGAUGUGAAAUCCCCGGG